rnacentral:lncRNA from 1 species
CUUGUUGAGAUGCUUGAGAUGAGGCUUGUUGAGAUGCUUUGGGAGUGAGAUGACGCUUGUUCAGAUGCUUGAGGAGUGAGAUGACGCUUGUUCAGAUGCUUGAGAUGAGGCUUGUUGAGAUGCUUGAGGAGUGAGAUGAGGCUUGUUGUGAUCAUUUAUAUUCCUUGUUGUAUUUUGUGAUGAUACAUUCUCUUGUUGUGUUGCAUCCUUGUGAUUAUGAGCU